rnacentral:misc_RNA from 1 species
UGGGCAAUUGCAAAGGUAUACCCUUACUUCUGUCUUCUUCACCACCUCCGCGAGUGAUAUGUUGUCAUUUUCCAGUUUCCUGGGAAUGUGCAAGGGUCUGUAGGUCCUCAUUCUCAUACAUGGAUCUCUUCAUAGUCGGCUACAAAUAAUGUCAAAUAUAGUGUGAUUUUUCUUCUAUCUUUUUUUCUUCUUUGGGUAGGUGACUUACUGUCAUUCGUUCAGUGGUCAAUAUUCAGCCACUUAAUGUGCUGUUAACUUUUCUUUCUUCUCUGUAUUUUCUAGCAGCCUUUGUGUUAUAUUUGAUAUUUUUGCUCUCACAGAUUAUGAUAAUAAAAUUCAAUGGGUCUUCUAGUGCAAAUGUUUUUCUUCAAUAGAAAUAUUUGAGUGUGGCUUAAUUUUUUUUCGGCAAUAAAAAAGAUCUCUUUUGCUGCA